rnacentral:rRNA from 1 species
UGCAGGCUGCAACCCGCCCUGCAUGAAGUCGGAAUUGCUAGUAAUCGCGGAUCAGCAUGCCGCGGUGAAUACGUUCCCGGGCCUUGUACACACCGCCCGUCACACCAUGAGAGCCGGUAACACCCGAAGUCAGGAGCCUAACCGCAAGGAGGGCGCUGCCGAAGGUGGGAUUGGUAAUUGGGGUGAAGUCGUAACAAGGUAGC